rnacentral:rRNA from 1 species
GACGAACGCUGGCGGCGUGCUUAACACAUGCAAGUCGAACGGAAAGGCCCUGCUUUUGUGGGGUGCUCGAGUGGCGAACGGGUGAGUAACACGUGAGUAACCUGCCCUUGACUUUGGGAUAACUUCAGGAAACUGGGGCUAAUACCGGAUAGGAGCUCCUGCUGCAUGGGGGGGGUUGGAAAGUUUCGGCGGUUGGGGAUGGACUCGCGGCUUAUCAGCUUGUUGGUGGGGUAGUGGCUUACCAAGGCUUUGACGGGUAGCCGGCCUGAGAGGGUGACCGGCCACAUUGGGACUGAGAUACGGCGCAGACUCCUACGGGAGGCAGAAGUGGGGAAUAUUGCACAAUGGGCGGAAGCCUGAUGCAGCAACGCCGCGUGCGGGAUGACGGCCUUCGGGUUGUAAACCGCUUUCGCCUGUGACGAAGCGUGAGUGACGGUAAUGGGUAAAGAAGCACCGGCUAACUACGUG